rfam:Aedes albopictus isolate Foshan contig124326, whole genome shotgun sequence.
UGUUCUGUGGCGGAGUGGGUUAACGCGCCCUGUCUAGCGAACUUGGGGAGACGUGGGUACAAAUCCCACCAGAACUA